AGAGUUUGAUCAUGGCUCAGGACGAACGCUGGCGGCGUGCCUAACACAUGCAAGUCGAGCGGAGACAGUGAGUAGCUUGCUAUGAACNGUUUUAGCGGCGGACGGGUGAGUAACGCGUGAGCAACUUUCCCAGACAGGGGAAUAACACACCGAAAGGUGUACUAAUACCGCAUAAGACCACGGGAUCACAUGGUUCUGGGGUAAAAGAUUUAUCGGUUUGGGGUGGGCUCGCGUCCGAUUAGGUAGUUGGUGAGGUAACGGCCCACCAAGCCGACGAUCGGUAGCCGACCUGAGAGGGUGAUCCGGCCACAUUGGGACUGAGACACGGCCCAAACUCCUACGGGGGGCAGCA
rnacentral:rRNA from 1 species